GCCAGGCACGGUGGCGUGUGCCUAUAGUCCCAGCUACUCGGUAGGCUGAGGUAGGAGGAUCGCUUGAGCCCAGGAGUUCUGGGCUGUAGUGCAUUAUGCCGAUCGGGUGUCCGCACUAAGUUCGGCAUCAAGAUGGUGAACUCCCGGGAGCCGGGAACCACCAGGUUGCCUAAGGAGGGGUGAACCGGCCCAGGUCGGAAAUGGAGCAGGUCAAAACUCCUGUACUGAUUAGUAGUGGGAUCGCGCCUGUGAAUAGUCACUGCACUCCAGCCUGGGCAACAUAGCGAGACCCUGUCUCU
rnacentral:SRP_RNA from 1 species